UAAUGAUUUGUUUUUAAGAUGUUCAUACAUAAUAAUCUAGGUUGUUAUUGAGCUCCGCGGCUAUCCUUAGAUUGGCAUUUCGGCAUCGGCACAGUUACUCGAAUCGAUACCGCAGUCCCGAGGUGAAUACAUUGUCUAUUUGUUUUUUCGUCAUGAAUGCUAAUAACUUGUAUCAUUUCUACACUGAUAUAUGUACUCAUCUCUUCUGAAUCUGUUCAGUUAAGCUGCAACUGAUGUGUGAGAGGCUUGGUUUAUACAGUAGAGAGAUCAUAGAAGCUUAACACUGCCUAGGUGUAGUACAAAUAUGUCUUCUAAGUUUCACAAGCACUGACCCACGAGUAUGAUGCUCUCCUCCUGCUUAUAUGAACCUUCUGGUGCAGAAAUAGAUCUAUUGCUUGAUGACAUAAUUUAUGUGUUAAGGAUUCUGCUUAAGUAAGCUUCAGCUCAUGUGCGAGAGGCUUGGUUUGUGCAGAGAUCCUCUCGGCCACCCCUGAUGCUCAGGCUGAUGCUUCUUCGCUUGAUGCUGAAGAAAAGGAUGAUCAGAUUCAGACGCCCAAGAACAACAGCUACUAUGAAUAUUAUGAUUGAGCGACUGCUUGGCGAUGUCAUUGUCAGAGGCUCAGGCCUCUUCCCUGGACAAGGCACUCUUGCUAGGCGGCGGCGAUCUGUGCGCCGGUUCAAG